GAUUGAACGCUGGCGGCAUGCCUUACACAUGCAAGUCGAACGGCAGCACGGGUGCUUGCACCUGGUGGCGAGUGGCGAACGGGUGAGUAAUACAUCGGAACAUGUCCUGUAGUGGGGGAUAGCCCGGCGAAAGCCGGAUUAAUACCGCAUACGAUCUACGGAUGAAAGCGGGGGACCUUCGGGCCUCGCGCUAUAGGGUUGGCCGAUGGCUGAUUAGCUAGUUGGUGGGGUAAAGGCCUACCAAGGCGACGAUCAGUAGCUGGUCUGAGGGGACGACCAGCCACACUGGGACUGAGACACGGCCCAGACUCCUACGGGAGGCAGCAGUGGGGAAUUUUGGACAAUGGGCGAAAGCCUGAUCCAGCAAUGCCGCGUGUGUGAAGAAGGCCUUCGGGUUGUAAAGCACUUUUGUCCGGAAAGAAAUCCUUGGCUCUAAUACAGUCGGGGGAUGACGGUACCGGAAGAAUAAGCACCGGCUAACUACGUGCCAGCAGCCGCGGUAAUACGUAGGGUGCGAGCGUUAAUCGGAAUUACUGGGCGUAAAGCGUGCGCAGGCGGUUUGCUAAGACCGAUGUGAAAUCCCCGGGCUCAACCUGGGAACUGCAUUGGUGACUGGCAGGCUAGAGUAUGGCAGAGGGGGGUAGAAUUCCACGUGUAGCAGUGAAAUGCGUAGAGAUGUGGAGGAAUACCGAUGGCGAAGGCAGCCCCCUGGGCCCAAUACUGACGCUCAUGCACGAAAGCGUGGGGAGCAAACAGGAUUAGAUACCCUGGGUAGUCCACGCCCUAAACGAUGUCAACUAGUUGUUGGGGAUUCAUUUCCUUAGUAACGUAGCUAACGCGUGAAGUUGACCGCCUGGGGAGUACGGUCGCAAGAUUAAAACUCAAAGGAAUUGACGGGGACCCGCACAAGCGGUGGAUGAUGUGGAUUAAUUCGAUGCAACGCGAAAAACCUUACCUACCCUUGACAUGGUCGGAAUCCCGCUGAGAGGUGGGAGUGCUCGAAAGAGAACCGGCGCACAGGUGCUGCAUGGCUGUCGUCAGCUCGUGUCGUGAGAUGUUGGGUUAAGUCCCGCAACGAGCGCAACCCUUGUCCUUAGUUGCUACGCAAGAGCACUCUAAGGAGACUGCCGGUGACAAACCGGAGGAAGGUGGGGAUGACGUCAAGUCCUCAUGGCCCUUAUGGGUAGGGCUUCACACGUCAUACAAUGGUCGGAACAGAGGGUUGCCAACCCGCGAGGGGGAGCUAAUCCCAGAAAACCGAUCGUAGUCCGGAUUGCACUCUGCAACUCGAGUGCAUGAAGCUGGAAUCGCUAGUAAUCGCGGAUCAGCAUGCCGCGGUGAAUACGUUCCCAGGUCUUGUACACACCCGCC
rnacentral:rRNA from 1 species